CCUGGUCAUCCCUACUGCCUCUGAUCUGGAGGACUCACUAAACAGAGAACAUCCCUGGUUAUCCCUACUGCCUCUGAUCUGGUGGACUCACUAAACAGAGAACAUCCCUGGUCAUCCCUACUGCCUCUGAUCUGGAGGACUCACUAAACAGAGAACAUCCCUGGUUAUCCCUACUGCCUCUGAUCUGGUGGACUCACUAAACAGAGAACAUCCCUGGUCCUCCCUACUGCCUCUGAUCUGGAGGACUCACUAAACAGAGAACAUCCCUGGUCAUCCCUACUGCCUCUGAUCUGGAGGACUCACUAAACAGAGAACAUCCCUGGUCGUCCCUACUGCCUCUGAUCUGGAGGACUCACUAAACAGAGAACAUCCCUGGUCAUCCCUACUGCCUCUGAUCUGGUGGACUCACUAAACAGAGAACAUCCCUGGUCAUCCCUACUGCCUCUGAUCUGGAAGACUCACUAAACAGAGAACAUCCCUGGUCAUCCCUACUGCCUCUGAUCUGGUGGACUCACUAAACAGAGAACAUCCCUGGUCAUCCCUACUGCCUCUGAUCUGGAGGACUCACUAAACAGAGAACAUCCUUGGUCAUCCCUACUGCCUCUGAUCUGGAGGACUCACUAAACAGAGAACAUCCCUGGUUAUCCCUACUGCCUCUGAUCUGGUGGACUCACUAAACAGAGAACAUCCCUGGUCAUCCCUACUGCCUCUGAUCUGGAGGACUCACUAAACAGAGAACAUCCCUGGUCAUCCCUACUGCCUCUGAUCUGGAGGACUCACUAAACAGAGAACAUCCCUGGUCGUCCCUACUGCCUCUGAUCUGGAGGACUCACUAAACAGAGAACAUCCCUGGUUAUCCCUACUGCCUCUGAUCUGGUGGACUCACUAAACAGAGAACAUCCCUGGUCAUCCCUACUGCCUCUGAUCUGGAAGACUCACUAAACAGAGAACAUCCCUGGUCAUCCCUACAGCCUCUGAUCUGGAGGACUCACUAAAUAGAGAACAUCCCUGGUUAUCCCUACUGCCUCUGAUCUGGUGGACUCACUAAACAGAGAACAUCCCUGGUCAUCCCUACUGCCUCUGAUCUGGAGGACUCACUAAACAGAGAACAUCCUUGGUCAUCCCUACUGCCUCUGAUCUGGAGGACUCACUAAACAGAGAACAUCCCUGGUUAUCCCUACUGCCUCUGAUCUGGUGGACUCACUAAACAGAGUACAUCCCUGGUCAUCCCUACUGCCUCUGAUCUGGAGGACUCACUAAACAGAGAACAUCCUUGGUCCUCCCUACUGCCUCUGAUCUGGAGUGUACCCCUGGCUAUCCAUAAAUAAAAUAAAAACAAGAAAAUGGUGCUUUUCUGCUUAAUAGAAGGAAUUUGAAAAAAACAUAUAUUUUUUUUAACUUUUGAUACUUAAGGAUAUUUUUAUAAAUGUACUUUUGAUACUUCAGUAUAUUUAAAACCAAAAUACCUUUAGACUUUUACUCAAGUAGUAUUUUACUAGGUGACUCACUUUUACUUGAGUCAUUUUCUAUGUAUCUUUUGUAUCUUUAGUACUUUUUCCACCAUUGAGUUUGUUUUUAUUAUAUUUGAGUACGCGAGUUAGUUUUAAAAAAAGGGUCUAUGCAGGUAGUUUGGGUAUUUAGCAGGCAGUCUUAUGCCUUGGAUGUCACAUCCUGACCAGUAAUAGGGGAUAUUUGUUAUUGUAGUUUGGUCAGGACGUGGCAGAGGGUAUUUGUUAUUGUAGUUUGGUCAGGACGUGGCAGAGGGGUAUUUGUUAUUGUAGUUUGGUCAGGACGUGGCAGAGGGGUAUUUGUUAUUGUAGUUUGGUCAGGACGUGGCAGAGGGUAUUUUGUUAUUGUAGUUUGGUCAGGACGUGGCAGAGGGGAUUUGUUAUUGUAGUUUGGUCAGGACGUGGCAGAGGGGUAUUUGUUAUUGUAGUUUGGUCAGGACGUGGCAGAGGGGUAUUUGUUAUUGUAGUUUGGUCAGGACGUGGCAGAGGGGUUAUUUGUUAUUGUAGUUUGGUCAGGACGUGGCAGAGGGGUAUUUGUUAUUGUAGUUUGGUCAGGACGUGGCAGAGGGGUAUUUGUUAUUGUAGUUUGGUCAGGACGUGGCAGAGGGGUAUUUGUUAUUGUAGUUUGGUCAGGACGUGGCAGAGGGGUAUUUGUUAUUGUAGUUUGGUCAGGACGUGGCAGAGGGGUAUUUGUUUUAUGUGGUUUGGUCAGGACGUGGCAGAGGGGUAUUUGUUAUUGUAGUUUGGUCAGGACGUGGCAGAGGGUUAUUUGUUAUUGUAGUUUGGUCAGGACGUGGCAGAGGGGUUAUUUGUUAUUGUAGUUUGGUCAGGACGUGGCAGAGGGGUAUUUGUUAUUGUAGUUUGGUCAGGACGUGGCAGAGGGGUAUUUGUUAUUGUAGUUUGGUCAGGACGUGGCAGAGGGGUAUUUGUUAUUGUAGUUUGGUCAGGACGUGGCAGAGGGGUUAUUUGUUAUUGUAGUUUGGUCAGGACGUGGCAGAGGGUAUUUGUUAUUGUAGUUUGGUCAGGACGUGGCAGAGGGGUUAUUUGUUAUUGUAGUUUGGUCAGGACGUGGCAGAGGGUGUUUGUAUUGUAGUUUGGUCAGGACGUGGCAGAGGGUAUUUGUUUUAUGUGGUUCGGGGUGGUGGUUUGUUUAGAAGGGUGUUUGAUUUAUUAUUUCCGGGUUUUGGGUAAUGUUCUAUGUUCUCUCUAGUUUAGUAUUUCUAUGUCUAGGUAAUUGGGUGUUGGACUCUCAAUUGGAGGCAGGUGUUUUUAGUUGUCUCUGAUUGAGAGUCCUAUAUAUAGGUAUGUGUUGGUAUUAGUGUUUGGUGGGAGAUUGUUUCUGUGUGUAGCUCCAAGCCUUACAGGACUGUUAUUCGUCGUUGUUUCUUUGUUGUUGUGUACGUGUUUAUUUUUGGUUUCACCUUCUUCUUCGCCAACUAAUUAAAAAAAGAAGAUGAGUGCACAUUUCCCCGCUGCGUCUUGGUCCGCUUUAUCCGACGACAACCGUUACAUUACAUACGGUCCUGUUGGUUCCGGACUCGGUGUAAUGGUUCCUCCUGCCGUUCAGUAGCAGAGAGAACAAUCUAUGACUUGGGGUGGCUGGAGUCUUUGACAAUUUUUUUGGGGGGGGCUUCCUCUGACACCGCCUGGUAUCGAGGUCCUGGAUGGCAGGGAGUUCGGCCCCAUGUGAUGUCCUGGGCCGUACUCACCAACUGCCUUGCGGUGAAGCAGCCAGUGAAGAUGCCCUCAAUGCUGUAUAACUUUUUGAGGAUCUGAGGGCCAAUGCCAAGUCUUUUCGGCCUCCGCUUGUCGUGCCCUCUUCACAAUUGUGUGGACCAUUUGAAUGACUUAGUGAUGACACCGAGGAAAGCCCGUUCCACUACAGCCCCUUUGAUGUGGAUGAAGGUGUGCUCGCACCUCUGUUUCCUAUAGUCCACGAUCAUCUCCUUUGUCUUGCUGACGUUGAGGGAGAGGUUGUUGUCCUGGCACAACACUGCCAGGUCUCUGACCUCCUCCGUGUUCACUGCCGC
rnacentral:lncRNA from 1 species